GGGUUGUGAGGUUAAGCGACUAAGCGUACACGGUGGAUGCCCUGGCAGUCAGAGGCGAUGAAGGACGUGCUAAUCUGCGAAAAGCGUCGGUAAGGUGAUAUGAACCGUUACAGCCGGCGAUGUCCGAAUGGGGAAACCCAGUGUGAUUCGUCACACUAUCGUUAACUGAAUACAUAGGUUAACGAGGCGAACCGGGGGAACUGAAACAUCUAAGUACCCCGAGGAAAAGAAAUCAACCGAGAUUCCCCAGUAGCGGCGAGCGAACGGGGAGCAGCCCAGAGUCUGAAUCAGCUUGUGUGUUAGUGGAACGGUCUGGAAAGUCCGACGGUACAGGGUGAUAGUCCCGUACACCAAAAUGCACAGGCUGUGAACUCAAAGAGUAGGGCGGGACACGUGGUAUCCUGUCUGAAUAUGGGGGGACCAUCCUCCAAGGCUAAAUACUCCUGACUGACCGAUAGUGAACCAGUACCGUGAGGGAAAGGCGAAAAGAACCCCGGCGAGGGGAGUGAAAAAGAACCUGAAACCGUGUACGUACAAGCAGUGGGAGCACCUUCGGGUGUGACUGCGUACCUUUUGUAUAAUGGGUCAGCGACUUAUAUUCUGUAGCAAGGUUAACCGUAUAGGGGAGCCGCAGGGAAACCGAGUCUUAACUGGGCGUUAAGUUGCAGGGUAUAGACCCGAAACCCGGUGAUCUAGCCAUGGGCAGGUUGAAGGUUGGGUAACACUAACUGGAGGACCGAACCGACUAAUGUUGAAAAAUUAGCGGAUGACUUGUGGCUGGGGGUGAAAGGCCAAUCAAACCGGGAGAUAGCUGGUUCUCCCCGAAAGCUAUUUAGGUAGCGCCUCGUGAAUUCAUCUUCGGGGUAGAGCACUGUUUCGGCUAGGGGGUCAUCCCGACUUACCAACCCGAUGCAAACUACGAAUACCGAAGAAUGUUAUCACGGGAGACACACGGCGGGUGCUAACGUCCGUCGUGAAGAGGGAAACAACCCAGACCGCCAGCUAAGGUCCCAAAGUCACAGUUAAGUGGGAAACGAUGUGGGAAGGCACAGACAGCCAGGAUGUUGGCUUAGAAGCAGCCAUCAUUUAAAGAAAGCGUAAUAGCUCACUGGUCGAGUCGGCCUGCGCGGAAGAUGUAACGGGGCUAAACUGUGCACCGAAGCUGCGGCAGCGACACUAUGUGUUGUUGGGUAGGGGAGCGUUCUGUAAGCCUGCGAAGGUGGCCUGUGAGGGUUGCUGGAGGUAUCAGAAGUGCGAAUGCUGACAUAAGUAACGAUAAUGCGGGUGAAAAGCCCGCACGCCGGAAGACCAAGGGUUCCUGUCCAACGUUAAUCGGGGCAGGGUGAGUCGACCCCUAAGGCGAGGCCGAAAGGCGUAGUCGAUGGGAAACAGGUUAAUAUUCCUGUACUUGGUGUUACUGCGAAGGGGGGACGGAGAAGGCUAUGUUAGCCGGGCGACGGUUGUCCCGGUUUAAGCAUGUAGGCGGAGGUUCCAGGUAAAUCCGGUACCUUUUUAACGCUGAGGUGUGAUGACGAGGCACUACGGUGCUGAAGUAACAAAUGCCCUGCUUCCAGGAAAAGCCUCUAAGCAUCAGGUAACAUUAAAUCGUACCCCAAACCGACACAGGUGGUCAGGUAGAGAAUACCAAGGCGCUUGAGAGAACUCGGGUGAAGGAACUAGGCAAAAUGGUGCCGUAACUUCGGGAGAAGGCACGCUGAUAUGUAGGUGAAGCCCCUGCGGGUGGAGCUGAAAUCAGUCGAAGAUACCAGCUGGCUGCAACUGUUUAUUAAAAACACAGCACUGUGCAAACACGAAAGUGGACGUAUACGGUGUGACGCCUGCCCGGUGCCGGAAGGUUAAUUGAUGGGGUUAUCCGUAAGGAGAAGCUCUUGAUCGAAGCCCCGGUAAACGGCGGCCGUAACUAUAACGGUCCUAAGGUAGCGAAAUUCCUUGUCGGGUAAGUUCCGACCUGCACGAAUGGCGUAAUGAUGGCCAGGCUGUCUCCACCCGAGACUCAGUGAAAUUGAACUCGCUGUGAAGAUGCAGUGUACCCGCGGCAAGACGGAAAGACCCCGUGAACCUUUACUAUAGCUUGACACUGAACAUUGAGCCUUGAUGUGUAGGAUAGGUGGGAGGCUUUGAAGCGUGGACGCCAGUCUGCGUGGAGCCAACCUUGAAAUACCACCCUUUAAUGUUUGAUGUUCUAACGUUGGCCCCUUAUCGGGGUUGCGGACAGUGUCUGGUGGGUAGUUUGACUGGGGCGGUCUCCUCCCAAAGAGUAACGGAGGAGCACGAAGGUUAGCUAAUCCUGGUCGGACAUCAGGAGGUUAGUGCAAUGGCAUAAGCUAGCUUGACUGCGAGCGUGACGGCGCGAGCAGGUGCGAAAGCAGGUCAUAGUGAUCCGGUGGUUCUGAAUGGAAGGGCCAUCGCUCAACGGAUAAAAGGUACUCCGGGGAUAACAGGCUGAUACCGCCCAAGAGUUCAUAUCGACGGCGGUGUUUGGCACCUCGAUGUCGGCUCAUCACAUCCUGGGGCUGAAGUAGGUCCCAAGGGUAUGGCUGUUCGCCAUUUAAAGUGGUACGCGAGCUGGGUUUAGAACGUCGUGAGACAGUUCGGUCCCUAUCUGCCGUGGGCGCUGGAGAAUUGAGGGGGGCUGCUCCUAGUACGAGAGGACCGGAGUGGACGCAUCACUGGUGUUCGGGUUGUCAUGCCAAUGGCAUUGCCCGGUAGCUAAAUGCGGAAGAUAUAAGUGCUGAAAGCAUCUAAGCACGAAACUUGCCCCGAGAUGAGUUCUCCCUGACUCCUUGAGAGUCCUGAAGGAACGUUAAAGACGAUGACGUUGAUAGGUCGGGUGUGUAAGCGUAGCGAUACGUUGAGCUAACCGAUACUAAUGAACCGUGAGGCUUAACCUUACAACGCCGAAG
rnacentral:rRNA from 1 species